GGCCUGUUAGCUCAGUUGGUUAGAGCGCCGUGCUAAUAACGCGAAGGUCAUGAGUUCGAUCCUCUUACGGGCCA
rnacentral:tRNA from 1 species